GACGAACCGUGCGAACGUUAUUCGGAAUCACUGGGCUUAAAGCGCGUGUAGGCGGGACGGCACGUCAGUCGCUGAAAUCCCCCGGCUCAACCGGGGAACGGGCGCCGAUACGACCGCCCUGGAGGGACGUAGGGGGACCUGGAACUUCCGGUGGAGCGGUGAAAUGCGUUGAGAUCGGAAGGAACGCCCGUGGCGAAAGCGAGGUCCUGGACGUUUUCUGACGCUGAGACGCGAAAGCCAGGGGAGCGAACGGG
rnacentral:rRNA from 1 species